GAUGAACGCUGGCGGCGUGCCUAAUACAUGCAAGUCGAGCGAACGGACGAGAAGCUUGCUUCUCUGAUGUUAGCGGCGGACGGGUGAGUAACACGUGGAUAACCUACCUAUAAGACUGGGAUAACUUCGGGAAACCGGAGCUAAUACCGGAUAAUAUUUUGAACCGCAUGGUUCAAAAGUGAAAGACGGUCUUGCUGUCACUUAUAGAUGGAUCCGCGCUGCAUUAGCUAGUUGGUAAGGUAACGGCUUACCAAGGCAACGAUGCAUAGCCGACCUGAGAGGGUGAUCGGCCACACUGGAACUGAGACACGGUCCAGACUCCUACGGGAGGCAGCAGUAGGGAAUCUUCCGCAAUGGGCGAAAGCCUGACGGAGCAACGCCGCGUGAGUGAUGAAGGUCUUCGGAUCGUAAAACUCUGUUAUUAGGGAAAAACAUAUGUGUAAGUAACUGUGCACAUCUUGACGGUACCUAAUCAGAAAGCCACGGCUAACUACGUG
rnacentral:rRNA from 1 species